GUCUAUGGCCAUACCACCCUGAAUACCCAAUCUCAUCUGAUCUUGGAAGUGAAGCAGGAUCAGGCCUGGGAAGUACUUGGAUGGGAGACCACCUGGGAAUACUGGUGCUGUAGGCU
rnacentral:rRNA from 1 species